rnacentral:tRNA from 1 species
GCGGGUGUAGUUCAAUGGUAGAACGACAGCCUUCCAAGCUGUACACGCGGGUUCGAUUCCCGCUACCCGCUCCA